rnacentral:rRNA from 1 species
UACAGAGGUCUCAAGCGUUGUUCGGAUUCAUUGGGCGUAAAGGGUGCGUAGGUGGCGCUGUAAGUCGGGUGUGAAAUUUCGGAGCUUAACUCCGAAACUGCAUUCGAUACUGCGGUGCUUGAGGACUGGAGAGGAGACUGGAAUUCAUGGUGUAGCAGUGAAAUGCGUAGAGAUCAUGAGGAAGACCAGUGGCGAAGGCGGGUCUCGUGGACAGUUCCUGACACUGAGGCACGAAGGCCAGGGGAGCGAACGGG